AACGCACAUUGCGCCCCUUGGUAUUCCGGGGGGCAUGCCUGUUCGAGCGUCAUUUCAACCCUCAAGCCUAGCUUGGUCUUGGGCUCUGCCGGCAACGGCUGGCCUUAAAAUCAGUGGCGGUGUCAUUAAGCUCUACGCGUAGUAAUUAACCCCUCGCGUGUGAGUUUUGGUGGUCGCUUUGCCAGUAACCCCCCUCAAUUUCUUUGGUUGACCUCGGAUCAGGUAGGGAUACCCGCUGAACUUAA
rnacentral:misc_RNA from 1 species